rnacentral:rRNA from 1 species
UACGUAGGUGGCAAGCGUUGUCCGGAAUUACUGGGCGUAAAGGAUGCGUAGGCGGUUUUUUAAGUGGGAUGUGAAAUCCCCGGGCUUAACCCGGGAACUGCAUUCCAAACUGGAAAGCUAGAGUGCAGGAGAGGAAAGUGGAAUUCCCAGUGUAGCGGUGAAAUGCGUAGAGAUUGGGAGGAACACCAGUGGCGAAGGCGACUUUCUGGACUGUAACUGACGCUGAGGCAUGAAAGUGUGGGGAGCAAAC